rnacentral:rRNA from 1 species
CAAGUCGAACGGUUAAAGCACCUUUUAGGUGUGUAUAAGGUGGCGAACGGCUGAGUAACACGUGGGCAACCUGCCCUCCUCUUGGGGAUAGCCUCGGGAAACCGAGGAUAAUACCCGAUACUUCAAUGUGGCCGCAUGACGACAUUGAGAAAGCUUUUGCGGAGAAGGAUGGGCCCGCGGCCUGUUAGCUUGUUGGUGGGGUAGAGGCCUACCAAGGCAAUGAUGGGUAGCUGGGUUGAGAGACCGACCAGCCAGAUUGGGACUGAGACACGGCCCAGACUCCUACGGGAGGCAGCAGUGGGGAAUCUUGCACAAUGGGCGAAAGCCUGAUGCAGCGACGCCGCGUGCGGGACGAAGGCCUUCGGGUUGUAAACCGCUUUCAGCAGGGACGAGGCGAAAGUGACGGUACCUGCAGAAGAAGCCCCGGCUAACUACGUGCCAGCAGCCGCGGUAAUACGUAGGGGGCAAGCGUUAUCCGGAUUCAUUGGGCGUAAAGCGCUCGUAGGCGGUCUGUUAGGUCGGGAGUUAAAUCCGGAGGCUCAACCUCCGCCCGCUCCCGAUACCGGCAGACUUGAGUUUGGUAGGGGAAGGUGGAAUUCCUAGUGUAGCGGUGGAAUGCGCAGAUAUUAGGAAGAACACCAGUGGCGAAGGCGGCCUUCUGGGCCAUAAC